rnacentral:rRNA from 1 species
UACGAAGGGUGCAAACGUUGCUCGGAAUUAUUGGGCGUAAAGCGCACGUAGGCGGCUAUCUAAGUCGGAUGUGAAAUCCCUCGGCUUAACCAAGGAAGUGCACCCGAAACUGCUGAGCUUGAGUACUUAAGAGGAUCGCGGAAUUCCCGGUGUAGAGGUGAAAUUCGUAGAUAUCAAGCGGAACACCGGUGGCGAAGGCGGCCUUCUGGACAGUGACUGACGCUGAGACGCGAAAGCGUGGGGAGCAAACAGG